UCGGGUUGUAAAGCUCUUUCGGACAGAAAGAAAUCGCAUUGGUAAAUAAUCAGUGCGGAUGACGGUACUGUAAGAAGAAGCACCGGCUAACUACGUGCCAGCAGCCGCGGUAAUACGUAGGGUGCGAGCGUUAAUCGGAAUUACUGGGCGUAAAGCGUGCGCAGGCGGUUGCAUAAGACAGAUGUGAAAUCCCCGGGCUUAACCUGGGAACUGCGUUUGUGACUGUGUAACUGGAGUACGGCAGAGGGCCCUGNAUUUCCUGGUUUGUCACCGGCAUGCUCAUUUAUCUGGACUUGCGUAGAUGCUAAAGANAACCCUUGGNCUCUGUGCUGAANUUAAUGCANCAUCUCAUGAAACUAGCUGACGAUUACCUUGCCUGAUCUGUGUUCUGGUUCCCGAAGUC
rnacentral:rRNA from 1 species